rnacentral:rRNA from 1 species
UCGGAUGGAAGACUGUAAUUCUUAGUGGCGGACGGGUGAGUAACGCGUGGGCAACCUGCCCUAUACAGGGGGAUAGCAGCUGGAAACGGCUGGUAAGACCGCAUAAGUCGGCGAGACCGCAUGGUUUUGUCGGGAAAUGAGCAAUCAGGUAUAGGAUGGGCCCGCGUCCGAUUAGCCAGUUGGCAGGGUAAAAGCCUACCAAAGCAACGAUCGGUAGCCGGACUGAGAGGUCGGACGGCCACAUUGGGACUGAGACACGGCCCAAACUCCUACGGGAGGCAGCAGUGGGGGAUAUUGCACAAUGGAGGAAACUCUGAUGCAGCGACGCCGCGUGAGUGAAGAAGUAUUUCGGUAUGUAAAGCUCUAUCAGCAGGGAAGAUGAUGACGGUACCUGACUAAGAAGCCCCGGCUAACUACGUGCCAGCAGCCGCGGUAAUACGUAGGGGGCAAGCGUUAUCCGGAUUUACUGGGUGUAAAGGGAGCGCAGGCGGUUUGGCAAGUUGAGAGUGGAAGCAGGGGGCUCAACCCCUUGACUGCUCCCAAAACUGUUAAACUUGAGUAUGGGAGAGGCAGGCGGAAUUCCUAGUGUAGCGGUGAAAUGCUUAGAUAUUAGGAAGAACACCGGUGGCGAAGGCGGCCUGCUGGACCAAAACUGACGCUGAGGCUCGAAAGCGUGGGUAGCAAACAGGAUUAGAUACCCUGGUAGUCCACGCUGUAAACGAUGAAUACUAGGUGCCGGGAGGCAUAAGUCUUUCGGUGCCGUCGCAAACGCAUUAA